AUGAGACUACAGAGCUGCACGGCUCAGUGGUCAAAGGAGCAAUCCGCUUUGAGAUGGCCUCGCGUCCGAUUAGCUAGUUGGUGAGGUAAUGGCCCACCAAGGCGACGAUCGGUAGCCGGACUGAGAGGUUGAACGGCCACAUUGGGACUGAGACACGGCCCAGACUCCUACGGGAGGCAGCAUG
rnacentral:rRNA from 1 species